GACGAACGCUGGCGGCGUGCUUAACACAUGCAAGUCGAACGCUGAACCCGCUUCGGUGGGGGAUGAGUGGCGAACGGGUGAGUAACACGUGGGCAACCUGCCCCCGGCUCUGGGAUAACUCCAAGAAAUUGGGGCUAAUACCGGAUGUGACCGCUGGCCGCAUGGUCUGGUGGUGGAAAGGGUUUCCGGCUGGGGAUGGGCCCGCGGCCUAUCAGCUUGUUGGUGGGGUAGUGGCCUACCAAGGGGACGACGGGUAGCCGGCCUGAGAGGGUGACCGGCCACACUGGGACUGAGACACGGCCCAGACUCCUACGGGAGGCAGCAGUGGGGAAUAUUGCGCAAUGGGCGGAAGCCUGACGCAGCGACGCCGCGUGGGGGAUGACGGCCUUCGGGUUGUAAACCUCUUUCAGCAGGGACGAAGCGCAAGUGACGGUACCUGCAGAAGAAGCACCGGCCAACUACGUG
rnacentral:rRNA from 1 species